GAUGUUGGCUUAGAAGCAGCCAUCAUUUAAAGAAAGCGUAAUAGCUCACUGGUCGAGUCGGCCUGCGCGGAAGAUGUAACGGGGCUAAACCAUGCACCGAAGCUGCGGCAGCGACACUAUGUGUUGUUGGGUAGGGGAGCGUUCUGUAAGCCUGUGAAGGUGGCCUGUGAGGGUUGCUGGAGGUAUCAGAAGUGCGAAUGCUGACAUAAGUAACGAUAAAGCGGGUGAAAAGCCCGCUCGCCGGAAGACCAAGGGUUCCUGUCCAACGUUAAUCGGGGCAGGGUGAGUCGACCCCUAAGGCGAGGCCGAAAGGCGUAGUCGAUGGGAAACAGGUUAAUAUUCCUGUACUUGGUGUUACUGCGAAGGGGGGACGGAGAAGGCUAUGUUGGCCGGGCGACGGUUGUCCCGGUUUAAGCGUGUAGGCUGGUUUUCCAGGCAAAUCCGGAAAACCAAGGCUGAGGCGUGAUGACGAGGCACUACGGUGCUGAAGCGACAAAUGCCCUGCUUCCAGGAAAAGCCUCUAAGCAUCAGGUAACAUCAAAUCGUACCCCAAACCGACACAGGUGGUCAGGUAGAGAAUACCAAGGCGCUUGAGAGAACUCGGGUGAAGGAACUAGGCAAAAUGGUGCCGUAACUUCGGGAGAAGGCACGCUGAUAUGUAGGUGAAGCGACUUGCUCGUGGAGCUGAAAUCAGUCGAAGAUACCAGCUGGCUGCAACUGUUUAUUAAAAACACAGCACUGUGCAAACACGAAAGUGGACGUAUACGGUGUGACGCCUGCCCGGUGCCGGAAG
rnacentral:rRNA from 1 species